rnacentral:misc_RNA from 1 species
GAUGAAGAACGCAGCGAAAUGCGAUAAGUAGUGUGAAUUGCAGAAUUCAGUGAAUCAUCGAAUCUUUGAACGCACAUUGCGCCCCUUGGUAUUCCAUGGGGCAUGCCUGUUCGAGCGUCAUUUGUACCUUCAAGCUUUGCUUGGUGUUGGGUGUUUGUCUCGCCUCCGCGUGUAGACUCGCCUCAAAACAAUUGGCAGCCGGCGUAUUGAUUUCGGAGCGCAGUACAUCUCGCGCUUUGCACUCACAACGACGACGUCCAAAAGUACAUUUUUACACUCUUGACCUCGGAUCAGGUAGGGAUACCCGCUGAACUUAAGCAUAUCAAUAAGCGGGGA